rnacentral:ribozyme from 1 species
UUUUUUUUUUUUUUUUUUUUUUUUUUUUUGCAAGACUCCGAAUGCGAUUGAAGAAGCGAGGACGACACGCAGGUCUGA